CACGGUGUGGCAUCACACAGAGGUCAAAGGAGAAAUCCGCUGAAGGAUGGGCUCGCGUCCAAUUAGCUAGAUGGUGAGGUAACGGCCCACCAUGGCGACGAUUGGUAGCCGGACUGAGAGGUUGAUCGGCCACAUUGGGACUGAGACACGGCCCAGACUCCUACGGGAGGCAGCAGUGGGGAAUAUUGCACAAUGGAGGAAACUCUGAUGCAGCGACGCCGCGUGAGGGAAGAAGGUCUUCGGAUUGUAAACCUCUGUUGUCAGGGACGAUGAUGACGGUACCUGACGAGGAAGCCACGGCUAACUACGUGCCAGCAGCCGCGGUAAAACGUAGGUGGCAAGCGUUGUCCGGAAUUACUGGGUGUAAAGGGAGCGCAGGCGGGAGAGCAAGUUGGGAGUGAAAUCUGUGGGCUCAACCCACAAAUUGCUUUCAAAACUGUUUUUCUUGAGUGGUGUAGAGGUAGGCGGAAUUCCCGGUGUAGCGGUGGAAUGCGUAGAUAUCGGGAGGAACACCAGUGGCGAAGGCGGCCUACUGGGCACUAACUGACGCUGAGGCUCGAAAGCAUGGGUAGCAAACAGGAUUAGAUACCCUGGUAGUCCAUGCCGUAAACGAUGAUUACUAGGUGUGGGAGGAUUGACCCCUUCCGUGCCGCAGUU
rnacentral:rRNA from 1 species